UUUGCCUAUUUCCAAAAGCGGAGGAAAAGAAACUAACAAGGAUUCCCCCAGUAACGGCGAGUGAAGAGGGAAAAGCCCAAAUUUGUAAUCUGGCUUUCAUUUUGGAAGUCUGAGUUGUAAUUUUAAGAACUGUUUUCAGUGCUGGACCAUUCAGAAGUUUGUUGGAAAACAACAUCAUUGAGGGUGAUAAUCCCGUUCAUGGUAUGGACCACCAGUACAAUAUGAUACAGUCUCUAAGAGUCGAGUUGUUUGGGAAUGCAGCUCAAAGUGGGUGGUAAAUUCCAUCUAAGGCUAAAUAUUGAUGAGAGACCGAUAGCAAACAAGUACCGUGAGGGAAAGAUGAAAAGAACUUUGGAAAGAGAGUUAACAGUAUGUGAAAUUGUUAAAAGGGAAACACUUGAAGUUAGACUUGUUAUUGCUAGGUCAAACCCUUUUUUGAGGGGAGUAUUCUAGUGGUUAACAGAUCAACAUCAAUUCAUUGAGUGCUAGAUAAGGGUUGUGGAAAUGUGGCAGUCUCUGACUGUGUUAUAGUCCAUAACUUUGAUAUGGUGCUUUGGAUUGAGGUAUGCAGCAAGCCAUUUAAUUAUGGUGGACUUUUCUAAGUUUUCUUGCUGAGGAUGUUGAUGUAAUAGCUUUAAAUGACCCGUCUUGAACCCCACGGACCAAA
rnacentral:rRNA from 1 species